rnacentral:rRNA from 1 species
AAACCAACUGGGAUUACCUUAGUAACGGCGAGUGAAGCGGUAAAAGCUCAAAUUUGAAAUCUGGUACUUUCAGUGCCCGAGUUGUAAUUUGUAGAAUUUGUCUUUGAUUAGGUCCUUGUCUAUGUUCCUUGGAACAGGACGUCAUAGAGGGUGAGAAUCCCGUUUGGCGAGGAUACCUUUUCUCUGUAAGACUUUUUCGAAGAGUCGAGUUGUUUGGGAAUGCAGCUCAAAGUGGGUGGUAAAUUCCAUCUAAAGCUAAAUAUUGGCGAGAGACCGAUAGCGAACAAGUACAGUGAUGGAAAGAUGAAAAGAACUUUGAAAAGAGAGUGAAAAAGUACGUGAAAUUGUUGAAAGGGAAGGGCAUUUGAUCAGACAUGGUGUUUUUGCAUGCACUCGCCUCUCGUGGGCUUGGGCCUCUCAAAAUUUCACUGGGCCAACAUCAAUUCUGGCAGCAGGAUAAAUCAUUAAGAAUGUAGCUACCUCGGUAGUGUUAUAGCUUUUUGGAAUACUGUUAGCCGGGU